rnacentral:misc_RNA from 1 species
ACAAACUUGGUCAUUUAGAGGAAGUAAAAGUCGUAACAAGGUUUCCGUAGGUGAACCUGCGGAAGGAUCAUUAAAGAUUCGGGUCGCGAGAUCCAUCUUUUCUCCAGCUGUGCGCUUCGGCUGCACGCUGUUGAAAUCCAACCUUCACACCUGUGAACCUCUCGGGGGCGCUCUGCGCUUCCGCUUUACAUGUAACAACUUAAGUUUAGAAUGUUUUAAUACUAUAAAGUAACAACUUUCAACAACGGAUCUCUUGGCUCUCGCAUCGAUGAAGAACGCAGC